AGCGAACGCUAGCGGCAGGCCUAACACAUGCAAGUCGAACGAAGUCUUCGGACUUAGUGGCGGACGGGUGAGUAACACGUGGGAACGUGCCUUUAGGUUCGGAAUAACUCAGGGAAACUUGUGCUAAUACCGAAUGUGCCCUUCGGGGGAAAGAUUUAUCGCCUUUAGAGCGGCCCGCGUCUGAUUAGCUAGUUGGUGAGGUAAAGGCUCACCAAGGCGACGAUCAGUAGCUGGUCUGAGAGGAUGAUCAGCCACAUUGGGACUGAGACACGGCCCAAACUCCUACGGGAGGCAGCAGUGGGGAAUCUUGCGCAAUGGGCGAAAGCCUGACGCAGCCAUGCCGCGUGGAUGAUGAAGGUCUUAGGAUUGUAAAAUCCUUUCACCGGUGAAGAUAAUGACUGUAGCCGGAGAAGAAGCCCCGGCUAACUUCGUGCCAGCAGCCGCCGUAAUAC
rnacentral:rRNA from 1 species